AUACGGAGGAUCCGAGCGUUAUCCGGAUUUAUUGGGUUUAAAGGGUGCGUAGGUGGUUUGAUAAGUCAGCGGUGAAAGUUUGCAGCUUAACUGUAAAAAUGCCGUUGAAACUGUCGGACUUGAGUGUAAAUGAGGUAGGCGGAAUGCGUGGUGUAGCGGUGAAAUGCAUAGAUAUCACGCAGAACUCCGAUUGCGAAGGCAGCUUACUAAGCCACAACUGACACUGAAGCACGAAAGCGUGGGGAUCAAACAGGAUUAGAUACCCUGGUAGUCCACGCAGUAAACGAUGAUUACUAGCUGUUUGCGAUACACAGUAAGCGGCACGGCGAAAGCGUUAAGUAAUCCACCUGGGGAGUACGCCGGCAACGGUGAAACUUAAAGGAAUUGACGGGG
rnacentral:rRNA from 1 species